AUCCCAGAUGAUAAUAUGUGUGAUUAUUCUGAUGCAUGCGAGAUAAAGAGUAAAUAAUAAUGGGAGUUCGCUGAUAGCGCCUUUGUAUUUUUUACAGGGUUUUCUAAUUGUAACUGACCGACCAUGU